AAGAAUGAAAAAACACUUUCAAUCCUUACGGUGAUUUCAAAAUCCCGUAACUUCUCCGUCUGAGCUCCGAUCGCCGCAUCGUUUGCGGCCACGCGAUCAUUGUGUCGAGCUCUACACUUCUAUCAGAACAAUUUCAUAGGAUUCAAUUAGCUUGAAAAAAACGUUCACUCUUACUUAUGUGAAACUUGGGUAAGGUUGUGAAUAAAUAAUUGGAGUUUGAAAUUAUGGACGUUGGAAUUUUGGUGGAGGCUGGGCAUUAGUAUUUUGGUUGAGCUUUAGGGCUGUGUUUGUGUUGAGUGAAUU